GAGUUUGAUCAUGGCUCAGAUUGAACGCUGGCGGCAUGCCUUACACAUGCAAGUCGAACGGCAGCACGGGAGCUUGCUCCUGGUGGCGAGUGGCGAACGGGUGAGUAAUGCAUCGGAACGUAUCCUGGAGUGGGGGGAUAACGUAGCGAAAGUUACGCUAAUACCGCAUAUUCUGUGAGCAGGAAAGCGGGGGACCUUCGGGCCUCGCGCUCUUGGAGCGGCCGAUGUCGGAUUAGCUAGUUGGUGAGGUAAAGGCUCACCAAGGCGACGAUCCGUAGCAGGUCUGAGAGGAUGAUCUGCCACACUGGAACUGAGACACGGUCCAGACUCCUACGGGAGGCAGCAGUGGGGAAUAUUGGACAAUGGGCGAAAGCCUGAUCCAGCCAUGCCGCGUGUGUGAAGAAGGUCUUCGGAUUGUAAAGCACUUUAAGUUGGGAGGAAGGGCAGUAAGUUAAUACCUUGCUGUUUUGACGUUACCGACAGAAUAAGCACCGGCUAACUCUGUCG
rnacentral:rRNA from 1 species